rnacentral:rRNA from 1 species
GACGAACGCUGGCGGCGUGCCUAACACAUGCAAGUCGAACGGAGCUGUUUUGGACGGAGACUUCGGUCAAAGACCAUAACAGCUUAGUGGCGGACGGGUGAGUAACGCGUGAGUAACCUGCCGUUCAGAGGGGGACAACAGUUGGAAACGACUGCUAAUACCGCAUAAUGUAUAUAGGAGGCAUCUUCUGUAUACCAAAGGAGCAAUCCGCUGAAUGAUGGACUCGCGUCCGAUUAGAUAGUUGGUGGGGUAACGGCCUACCAAGUCGACGAUCGGUAGCCGGACUGAGAGGUUGAUCGGCCACAUUGGGACUGAGACACGGCCCAGACUCCUACGGGAGGCAGCAGUGGGGGAUAUUGCACAAUGGAGGAAACUCUGAUGCAGCAACGCCGCGUGAGGGGAAGAAGGUCUUCGGAUUGUAAACCUUUGUUUUUGGUGACGAACAAAUGACGGUAGCCAAAGAGGAAGCCACGGCUAACUACGUG